GUUGCUGCUCAGGUCCAGUUCAGUCAGAUGUGAGGGGUUAAAGGUCAGAGCUGAGGCCAGAGAAGAACAGCUGAUCUCUGACAACCUGCAUUUCCACAAUCUGAAUAAAGAAUAAAAGAUGUGAGCUGAAGCCAACAGGAUGCAGGUUAACCAGUCCAACAGAACCAGUUAAAGAGCCUCAUGAAUAUUAAUGCCAACAUGCUGCUGCUUCAAUAAAGACCUGCUGACUUCAGCUCUUAAACUCUGUCAGCUCCACCAGCAGCUCCAUCAAUACAAACUCAGCUUCUGCAGCAAAUCAUCCAAGUUUCACACAAAACCAACAAUCAGGAGGAAAAACCAACUAAUGGAGAUUAAUGCAGAGAAAUUCAACUAUUUCAUUAUUCAUCAGCCA